rnacentral:rRNA from 1 species
AUGCAGAAGUUCAAGACCUUGGCCAAGGCCUUGACCGGCAAGACCGUCACCGCCGGGAGGAACUCUUCUGGGCGAAUCACUUCUUUUCACCGAGGGGGUGGAUCCAAGCGAUCGCUUAGGGACAUUGACCUCAAAAGGAACACUUGCUCGGUUGGCAUUGUGGAAAGGAUUGAGUAUGACCCUAACCGUUCUUCUCGGAUCGCUCUUCUCCGAUGGAUCGAAGGGGUACCACAGAAGGAUCCAGCAUACAAGGCCGAGCGUGCACCUGUCAAUUACAUAAUAGCCAGCCAUCAAAUGGAACCGGGCAGCAUGGUGGUGAACAGCGACUCCUCCAAACCCUCCACGACCGGCUCCUUGAUGCGGCCUGCCCACAAUGCCAAUUCCAUCCUUCGGUUCCAAGAGCUGUUCCGCAAAGCCAGCCAAGAAGGCGAAGAGGGCACUGAUGAUCAAGCAAAGGAUGCGGCGGUUCCUGCAGCAGCACCGCUCAUGCCAGCCGAUCUACUGGACCUCAAUUCCAAGGUGGGAAACUGCAUGCCGUUGUCCGACAUCCGCAUGGGAACAUGGGUGCACAGCAUCGAACUGCGUCAUGGCCAGGGGGCGAAGCUCGUCCGGGCCGCUGGAGCCUACGCCAAGGUGGUCAAGGAGUCGGCCACGCAGUGCCUUGUGCGGCUGCCGUCGGGCGUCGAGAAGCUGAUCGACUCCCGGUGCCGAGCCACCAUCGGCAUCGUCUCCAACCCCACCCAUGGUGCACGGAAGCUGAGGAAGGCGGGGCACAGCCGGUGGCUGGGCAGGCGCCCGGUUGUCCGUGGUGUCGCGAUGAACCCGGUGGAUCAUCCCCAUGGAGGAGGCGAGGGGCGCACCAAGGGCGGCAGGCCGUCGGUGUCGCCCUGGGGGAAGCCCACCAAGGCUGGGUAUCGGACCGUGCCGAAGAAGCCAAAGGCUCAGCUGUCCCGGGACUGA